GAUUGGAUCUGGACAGGGCCACUGGUCGUCGUCAGCGGAUCAAUCGAGAAGUGCUACUGGUGGGAUAGAGUCUGCAAAAGCACACAAACAGGUGUCGAAGCUAGCGCCUGUGACUCGAAAGGCUGGCGGGG
rnacentral:sRNA from 12 species